AUACUUACCUGGAUGGGGUCAAUGGGUAACCAUGAAGGCCUAUGGCCUAGAAUAGUGACCUCCAUUGCACUUAGGAGGGGUGCUGUACUAAGGUCUGUUCAAGAGACAGAGCCUAUGUCAUAAUUUGUGGCAGAGGGAGCCUGUGUUCGCGCGGCCCCUAC
rfam:Glycine soja cultivar W05 scaffold5016_3, whole genome shotgun sequence.